rnacentral:rRNA from 1 species
GUGCCAGCAGCCGCGGUAAUACGUAGGGGGCAAGCGUUGUCCGGAUUUAUUGGGCGUAAAGAGCGUGUAGGCGGCCAGGCAGGUCCGCUGUGAAAACUCGGGGCUUAACCCCGAGACGUCGGUGGAAACCGCCUGGCUAGAGUCCGGAAGAGGAGAAUGGAAUUCCCGGUGUAGCGGUGAAAUGCGCAGAUAUCGGGAAGAACACCCGUGGCGAAAGCGGUUCUCUGGGACGGUACUGACGCUGAGACGCGAAAGCGUGGGGAGCGAACAGGAUUAGAUACCCUCGUAGUCC